GGGAACAUACCCUUUUCUACGGAAUAGCUCUGGGAAACUGGAAUUAAUACCGUAUACGCCCUACGGGGGAAAGAUUUAUCGGGGAAGGAUUGGCCCGCGUUGGAUUAGCUAGUUGGUGGGGUAAAGGCCUACCAAGGCGACGAUCCAUAGCUGGUCUGAGAGGAUGAUCAGCCACAUUGGGACUGAGACACGGCCCAAACUCCUACGGGAGGCAGCAGUGGGGAAUAUUGGACAAUGGGCGCAAGCCUGAUCCAGCCGUGCCGCGUGAGUGAUGAAGGCCUUAGGGUUGUAAAGCUCUUUCACCGAUGAAGAUAAUGACGGUAGUCGGAGAAGAAGCCCCGGCUAACUUCGUGCCAGCAGCCGCGGUAAUACGAAGGGGGCUAGCGUUGUUCGGAAUUACUGGGCGUAAAGCGCACGUAGGCGGAUAUUUAAGUCAGGGGUGAAAUCCCAGAGCUCAACUCUGGAACUGCCUUUGAUACUGGGUAUCUUGAGUAUGGAAGAGGUAAGUGGAAUUGCGAGU
rnacentral:rRNA from 1 species